AUUGAACGCUGGCGGCAGGCCUAACACAUGCAAGUCGAGCGGAUGAAGGGAGCUUGCUCCUGGAUUCAGCGGCGGACGGGUGAGUGAUGCCUAGGAAUCUGCCUGGUAGUGGGGGAUAACGUCCGGAAACGGGCGCUAAUACCGCAUACGUCCUGAGGGAGAAAGAGGGGGAUCUUCGGACCUCACGCUAUCAGAUGAGCCUAGGUCGGAUUAGCUAGUUGGUGGGGUAAAGGCCUACCAAGGCGACGAUCCGUAACUGGUCUGAGAGGAUGAUCAGUCACACUGGAACUGAGACACGGUCCAGACUCCUACGGGAGGCAGCAGUGGGGAAUAUUGGACAAUGGGCGAAAGCCUGAUCCAGCCAUGCCGCGUGUGUGAAGAAGGUCUUCGGAUUGUAAAGCACUUUAAGUUGGGAGGAAGGGCAGUAAGUUAAUACCUUGCUGUUUUGACGUUACCAACAGAAUAAGCACCGGCUAACUUCGUG
rnacentral:rRNA from 1 species